GUCCUCCAAGGUACCUAGAGAGGCUGUACGGGAAGCAGCCAAUCAGGGCCCAGCAGGCUAGUAUAAGAAGAGCUGCAGGGGCAAAAGGAGUUCAGUUCAUUGCUGGAGCUGGUGGUGUGUGGAUGGUGUGCCUGGCUGAGGGAGCUACAGGACCCUGGACAAAGCAGUGCUGGCAGUGGCUGGGGGAAAUAUGAAGGAGUUCAGGACUGGCUGCUGAGACUCAGGAUUGGCUGGUGAGACCAGGAUAAGACCCUGAGACAGACUGUGUAUGACUUGGCCGGAGGGAUGAGUCUGUGAAGACCCACCACAAACAGAGUGUGUAGGCACCUGCACUGAGAAAGGGGGUGCUCAUGAGAGAUUCACCUAUGAAAAAGCUGUCUAGAAAAGGCAAAGCUUGAAUAUGGAUGUACGGCUUGUGCUGCAAGGUGCAGGAUCAGUGGAGCUACUCAUGAGCUUGAAGUUAAGGAAGUGCUUUGCUGGAUUGUCCCAGGGAGCUGAGACCCUUGCAAGAUCAAAGUGUGGGUGAUGAGACAAAGGCUUUUAGGGGUGCUCUGCUCACAGAUGUGCCUGCCUAUUUACCCUGCACUCUAUACCAGCAAACUAAACAUGAAGGAGCUUCCAUGGGAGAAUAAUCAGACUAAUGAUCUGCAGAAAUACUCAUGUUAAUGUUAUCAUUAGUAUAUUAAAAGAAUACUUUCCCACUAAAUGAUUUUUUUGUUCUUUUCAUGACCACCUAAAUGACUAAAGGGUGAUAAUAACACUCAUUAUUUUAGGAGCACAUUUGCAUCCCUAAUGAAAGAGCUCCUAACGGGCACAAAAAACGGAGGCAAGUGUCUGAAUUAAUUAAAAUGGUUUGGUUGAUUAGAUAAAAAUGCAAACACAAACCACACACAAAGUUAAGAUUUUCUUUUAUCUUCAUUUGAAUUUUUUUUUUUAAAGUGCCAUAAGCUUUUUGGUUUUUCCCUGUAACAAUGGAACAUCAGAACACACAAUCGUAUCAGUAUAAUCUAUGCAACAGUAAGUUCUGAUGAAGAAAACUACAGAAUACCUUCCUGGCCAACAACCUGUUGAGAAUAGUUUACUUAUGUAUAGCUUUCAUUAGCAAACCCACAGUGUUUCCUUUUCUAGUGAAUAUGAUCUGGCAAAAUGAUGACUGUGACUAUCAACUAUCUAGUCUGCUAGUAUGUGUAGCUAACAGCAGCUUGGAAAUACCAAUAAUCCUGUUAGUGUACUCAGUCAUAUAGAAAGCAUCAAAGUUUCUUCCCAAAAGGGCAUACAGUCUAAAUUAAACAAUGUCUUUUAAACACACAAUAAAUGUGAUUACCAAAGAUGGUCUUAAUCUCAAGGCAGGACAUACUGUAUAUAAUUCUUA